GAUGGUUCCGGGGCUAAGUGUGUGGACUGUCUGGUAGGUAAAUCCGCUGGGCGUGAAGGUUGAGGCAUGAUGGGGAGCCCACGGUUGUGGGUGAGUGAGUGAUCCUGUACUGUCGAGAAAAGCUUCGUGAGCGAGGUGGCGGGUCCGCCCGUACCCUAAACCGACACUGGUGGAUAGGUAGAGUAUACCGAGGCGAUCGAGUGAAUCGUGGUGAAGGAACUCGGCAAAAUG
rnacentral:rRNA from 14 species